rnacentral:tRNA from 1 species
GGAGAGUUGGCAGAAUGGCUAAUGCGCCCGCCCCGAAAGCGGGUGGGAGAAAUCCCUUGCAGGUUCGAGUCCUGCACUCUCCG